UUAUUUUUUUAAUGUCUGUUUAUUUAUUUUGUGUGAGAGAGAGAGCAUGUGCACGAGUUGGGGAGGGGCGAGAGAGGAAAAGAGAGAAUCCCAAGAAGGCUCCAUGCUGUCAGUACAGAGCCCAAUGCGGGGCUCAAUCCGUGAGAUCAUGACCAUGAUCUCAUGUGAUCACAAACCGUGAGAUCAUUUCCUGAGGCAAAUUAAGAGUCAGAUGCUUAACUGACUGAGCCACCUAGGCACUCCAGUUUGAAUGAUCCUAAUCCCUUUACAUUUAUUAAGAUUUGGGGGCAGGAAGUUGUGGGGGAAAAUUUAUUAACAUUUUUUUAAUGUUUAUUUAUCAAGAGAGAGAGAGAGCAUGAGGGAGGGGCAGAGAGAGGAGAGGGAGAAUCCCAAGUAGGCUCCAUGCUAUCAGGGUAGAGCCCAACAGCGGGCUUAAUCCCCUGAACCAUGAGAUCACGACCUGAGCAGAGAUCAAGAGUUCAACUCUUUUUUUUUUUUAAUUUAUUUUUGACAGAAGAGAGAGAGACAGAGCAUGAGUGGGGGAGGGGCAGAUAGAGGGAGACACAGAAUCUGAAGCAGACUCCAGGCUCUGAGCUGUCAGCACAGAACCUGAUGUGGGGCUCGAACUCACGGAUGGUGAGAUCAUGACCUGAGCCGAAGUCGGACGCUCAACCGACUGAGCCACCGAGGCACCCCAAGAGUUCAAGUCUUAACCCACUGAGACACCUAGGCGCCCGUAAGAUUUGUUUUUAUCACAUACACACACACACACAUACACACACACAUACACAGACACACACAUAUUUGUUUUAUCACAAAUCUUUGAUGGAUGUUUCAUGUACACUUGAAAAGAAAAUGUACUCUGCUGUUGUUGGAUAGAGUAUUCUGUAAAUGUCAAUUAAAUCCAGGUUAAUGGUGUUCAGUCCUUCAGUGUCCCUGCUGAACAUCUGUCUACUGGUUCUAUCAACAAGAUAGGAAUGUUGACAUUUCCAUCUAUAGUUGUGUGUUUUUCUAUUUUACCUUUCACUUUUUUUAGUUUUUACUUCAUAUAUUUUGAAGCUUUGUUGUUAGAUGCACCCACAUUUAGGAUUUUUAUGUCUUCUUUAUGAAUUGAGUCUUUUAUCAUUAUGUAAUGUUCCUUAGUGGUACCUAGCUUCUGAAAUGACUCCUAACGAUUCCCAACUCCUGUUACUUGCACCUGUAUGUGAUCGUCUCCUCUUGAAUAUAGGCUGGACCUGGUGACUCACUUUUAAUGAACAGAGUAUGGCAAAAAAAUGAUGAGCCAUCUCUUCCAAGAUUAGUUUUAUAAAUUAUUGUGACUUUUUUUUUUUUUUGCUUGCACUUUCUCUCUGGGUUUUGUUUUGUUUUGUUUGUUUUUGUUUUGUGCCCUUACUCUGAUGAUGACAUACCGUGAGCAACCUUAUGGAAAGGCCCAUAUGGCAAGGAGCUGAGUGUGGCUGGCCUCUGGCAAACAGCCAGUGAGGAACUGAGGCCCUCAUUCUAACAGCCUGGGAACAACUGAAUCCUGCCAACAACAUCAUGAGUGGGUUUGGAAGCAGAUCCUUCUUUGGUUAAGGCUUCAGGUCAUGAUCUCACAGUUGUGAGAUGAAGCCUUGCAUCUGGCGCUGAGCUGAGCGUGGAUUCUGUUUAAGGUUUUCUCCCUCUCCCUCUGCCCCUCCCCUGCUUGUACUUGCUCUCUCUUUAAAAAAAAAAAAGAAAUAAAAUAAAAGUGUGUUGUUUUAGGUCACUAAAUUUGGGGGUACUUCAUUAUAUAGCAAGAAGUAACUAAUAUACCUACCUGGUAAUUUUCUUUGCUCUGAAGUCUACUUUUGCCUUUAAUAUAGCUGUUCCAACCUCCUUUUCUAUUAGAGUUUACAUUUCCCCCCACCCUUUAAAUUUUAACAUAUCUAUAUCAUUAUAUUUGAAGUGACUUUCUAGUAGACAGCAUAUAGCUGGGUCAUGUUUUUUAAUUUAUUCUGACAAUCUCUUUUAAUUGAUGUGUAUAGAGCAUUUAGAGUUGUAUGAUUAUUGAUAUUUAAAUUUCAAUUCCUUAUCAUCAUUUUGUUAUUUGUUCUCUAUUUUCUCUGUUUUUCAUUCCUUGGUUAUCCCUUCCCUACUAUCAUCUGGAAAAUUAGAACAGUUUUUGGUAUUCCAUUUUAAUUUAUUGAUUGCAUUUUAGCUGUAUCUUUUUGUAUAGUUUUGUGGAGAAGUUGCUCCAGAGAUUUUGAUGUACAUACUUAACUUUUCGGUUUCCUUAGAAUCAGUAUUUUAUCAUUCAAAUGGACCCACCAUUUAGGUUCUUUUACCUUUCUUCUUUUAUGUUAUAGUUAUCUUAUAUAUUACAUCUAUGUGUAUUGAAAACUCAUUAAAACAAUGUUUUAAUUUUUGUUUUCAACCAUAAAAAAUAUUUUAAACAAAUAAAAAAUAAUCUAUUCUAUUUAUACUUAUGUUAUUCUUCCUUCCUUUCUGAUGUUCCCAGUUUCCCUCUGACGUUAGUUUCCUAAUAUCUGAACUUCCUUUAGAAAUUUUUAAGAGCAGUUUUUUUCAACAAAUUCUCUUAGUUUCCUUUUAUCUGAGUAUGUCUUUAUUUCAUCUCCAUUCCUGAAGGAUGUUUUCACUUGAUACAGAAUUCUGAGUUAUCAUCUCUUCUGUUUUUUUCUCUUUUUGGCACUUUAAACUUCUAAAAUGAGUUUUUUAAUGUUUAUUUAUUUUUGAGAGAGAGAGAGCAACUGGGGGGGGGCACAGAGAGAGGGAGACAGAGGAUCCCAAGCAGGCUCUGUGCUGUCAGCACAGAGACCAAUGCUGGGCUCAAACUCAAAAACCAUGAGAUUGUAACCUGAGCCAAAGUCAGAUGCUUAACCAACUGAACCCCCAGGCACCCCUCUUUUUGGCACUUUAGUCUUGGGUGUCAUAUUUAGGAGAUGAAUCACUGGGUUUUACUCCUGAAGCCAAGACUAUACUGUGUUAACUAACUUGAAUUUAAAUUAAAAAAAAAUCUUAUACUCCUUCUGCCUCCACAGUCAUUUGAAUCUUUGUCUAUAUAUUUAUUAGUAAUACAUUGUUAGUCUCUGGCUAUCUUCAAGAUUGUUGGGGCACCUGGGUGGCUCAGUCAGUUGAGUGUCCGAUUUCGGUUCAGGACAUGAUUUCAACAGUCUGUGAGUUUAAGCCCCACGUCAGGCUCUAUGCUGACAGCUCAGAACCUGGAGCCUGCUUCAGAUUCUGUGUCUACCUCUCUCUCUGCCCACCUCCCCCCACCCCCCCACUUAUGCUCUGUCUGUCUGUCUGUCUUUCUCUCAAAAAUAAACUUAAAAAAAUAUUGUCUUUAGUUUUCAGCAAUUUGAUUGUAGCAUAUUUAAUUCAUGUUCAUUUGUAUUUUUAAAAAGAAUUUUUAACGUUUAUUUAUUUUUGAGACAGAGAGAGACAGAGCAUGAAUGGGGGAGGGUCAGAGAGAGAGGAAGACACAGAAUCUGACACAGGCUCCAGGCUCUGAGCUGUCAGCACAGAGCCCGACGCGGGGCUGGAACUCAUGGACUGCCAGAUCAUGACCUGAGCUGAAGUUGGACGCCUAACUGACUGAGCCACCCAGGCGCCCCUCAUUUGUGUUUUUUGUUUAGGGUUUGCUGACACUGAAUCUGUAAGUUGUCGUCUUUUGCCAAAUUUGGUAAUUUUUUAGAAAAAAAAUAUAUAUAGUAACACAGUUUUUCUCCUCUUUUUCUGAAACUCCAAUGACGUGAAUGUUAGUCCUUUUUGUACUGUUCGUGGACCCAUGAGGUUCUGUUCACUUUUGGCUGAGAAAGGAUUUCUUUUUUCUCUGUUGUUCAAUUAGGAUAAUUUCUAUUGAUCUGUCCUCAAGUUCAUUGGCUCUUUCCUCUGUCACUGACAUGCUUCUGUAAGGUGUUUUUGUUUACUUGUUUAGUUUUUGUAUUUUCAGUUCAAAUUUUUAAAUGUUUUACCUAAUUUGUUUAAAGAAUAGUACUAUCUGGGAAUGCAAGCUGGUGAACCCACUCUGGAAAACAGUAUGGAGAUUCCUCAAAAAACUAAAAUAGAACUACCCUAUGACCCAGCAGUUGCACUACUAGGCAUUUAUCCAUAGGAUACAGGUGUGCUGUUUCGAAGGGACACAUGCACCCCCAUGUUUGUAGCAGCACUAUCAACAAUAGCCAAAGUAUGGAAAGAGCCCAAAUGUCCAUUGAUGGAUGUAUGGAUAAAGAA